rnacentral:rRNA from 1 species
AGCACUUCGGUGCGAGUACAGCGGCGGACGGGUGAGUAACGCGUAGGAAUCUACCUAGUAGUGGGGGACAACAUGUGGAAACGCAUGCUAAUACCGCAUACGCCCUAAGGGGGAAAGCAGGGGAUCUUCGGACCUUGCGCUAUUGGAUGAGCCUGCGUCAGAUUAGCUAGUUGGUGGGGUAAUGGCCUACCAAGGCAACGAUCUGUAGCUGGUCUGAGAGGAUGACCAGCCACACUGGAACUGAGACACGGUCCAGACUCCUACGGGAGGCAGCAGUGGGGAAUAUUGGACAAUGGGCGCAAGCCUGAUCCAGCCAUGCCGCGUGUGUGAAGAAGGCUCUAGGGUUGUAAAGCACUUUCAGUAGGGAGGAAAAGUUAGUAGUUAAUAUCUGCUAACCCUGACGUUACCUACAGAAGAAGCACCGGCAAACUCCGUGCCAGCAGCCGCGGUAAUACGGAGGGUGCGAGCGUUAAUCGGAAUUACUGGGCGUAAAGCGCGCGUAG